UGAGCAAUGAGGAUAAAAAAAACUUGACAGGUAUUAACCGUGGUGACUGUAUACGCUAUUCUGAGCCGUGG